CAGAAAGCGUUUUAUUAACAUGAAAGGUUCCUACUUUAGACACCAUCGAUGGAGUAUCAUUAUCAGUCAGAAAGACAUAAAACUACAUCUCGCAGUAAAGUAAUUGUAUUGAGAGUUUGAUGAAUCGUCAUCACCGCAUAAAUUACAGGUAUUAAAAGAAUGAUGAUCCCAAUGAAUUAAACAAGUAACCCGGACAGAAGAUUUUUAAAAUGCAUGUCAAAAUCACUUUAAACUCUACAUACCUAAACACUCUCACAAGACGUCUUAAGAAGUCAUCCCAAAUAAUAAUCAGGGAAAAAUGCACAUCACAGCAGCGGCAAUCAUCAGCAAAGUGAAAAAUAACUUUGAUCUAUCUCCCAUGAUCGACGCAGCAAAAGAAGAGAUAUCUUGUGGUUUCUGCAUAUAGCUGAGAGCACCACAAAACAGUGCAUUGUCUGGCAGGGGCAACUCAGUUUUGUUAGUCGCCUCUGGAUUCACAACUCUGACAUAUGUUUCUUGGCCAAGAUACCAUGAGUCGAGGUUUUCUGUUCUGAGGUUCCAGACUCCAACAUUGUCAAGUGACACCAAAAUUGCUGUCCAUGCUCCAGGAUAAACCUGUAUCGUGGAUCGUGCAAUGCCAUCCCAUUUGUUAUAUGUGCCCCUGCUAUUCUCUGUCCAUUCACCAUAGUCCAUCCCAACAACAAAAAAUGCAUAUCCACUCAUGUGAUAGCUCUGCAUCUUUGUAUCAUUAUUCUGCAGAAUGACUUCCAUAAAACCUCUAUAUGUUCCAUUAAUUACUGAUGUUUCCAUUUUAGGUGGCCCUUCAAGUGGCUUACUAGGGAAAUCAAGCUUGUAUACUCCUUUCACUUUGAAUUGAUCUGCAAGCCUGAUUGGAGUGGAAGGAUUGACAAAUGAUAUCCCACUCAAAGUCGUCCGCUUUUUUCCAUUAAUUGUCACUGGUGGCUUAUUCCUCAACACAUAAACUUCAGUUACAUUGAUUGACCCAUAUCUAAAUGAACCUUGAGGAUUAGGACGCGCACCACUAGCAGAAACAUUCCAUCUGAUAGAUCUUGCCUGGUUCAUUGAAAAGGUUUUGUCAAACUCAUCGUUGGGUGCAUCCGGAAGGGGACCAUUUGCCUUCCCUUUGGAAUUUGUAUAGUGCAAGAUAGCAACACCAGUAACCCUUUUCCAUUGAGAUUCAUUCACAAACCUGGCGCUAGCUACAAUAUAGUAAUCAGAACUUGCAUUCUGAUCCAUGGUUACCAAGAAAGAAUAUGAUUGUCCUACAUGAAUAUCUAAGCUUGUAUAAUUCUGUUGUACUGUAUAUGAUCCCUCUGACUCUGCUAAAAGCAGGUUAUGGUUCUGGAUCCUGAAAUUCAAACUGGUUGAUGUUCCAACAUUGUGUACACGAAGGCGAUAGGUUUUUCCUGGGUUGACUUCAAUAGUUUCAUAGUCAAUGCCAUCAGGAACAAGUGUGGUGUUAUACUGGUAAGGACCUUUGCCAUUAAUAAGCACUCCAUCUGGCAUCCCAAGAUCUUUCCCUUCGUCAAGGACCUUUCUCAAAGCCGUAUGGUUUCUUUUGUACCAAUCGCCUAUCAAAAUGACAAUGUCGCCAUGUGGAGUAUCAAAAGGAAUUGGAAUAAUAGGCCGAUUAUUUAUAAUAAAGCUACCAAAUCCACCAGAGGCUCUUUGCAUAUGAAGAGAAGGGAAGUAAAAGAAACUCCCAAUCUGAUCCUUAACCUGAAACUGAUAAGUCCAGUUCCACUUUGGAGGAAUUGGACAGUUAGUGCCAGGAAGUCCAUCUUGCCAAGAACUUCUCCUUUGUUGAACUCCAGACCAAUGCAUGAGGAGAUUCUCGUCCAGUUUGUUUCUAACAUUGACGACGACAUUGUUGUUAGUGGUCACAUUUAUAUUAGGACCAGGAAACUUGCCAUUUAUAGCAAUAACCUGCAAAGCAAUGCAAAAGUAGAAGCAGUUACUUGAACCUCUGUAACAUUUCAACAUCAGCUACAAUCUCAUUAUACUAUACAGAAGAAGCUAAAACCACAGCAUUAAGCUUGAAUUAUCAAUGCAUAAGCAAGUUAGCAGAUCUGAAAUUACUGUAACUUGAGAGAAUCUAAAGCAAACCCAUUUUAAAAAAUAAAAAUCAAGCAGCCACGAAGUAGAGAAAAUCCAGUAAAAUCAGUAGAAAUGAGUAAAUAUAGAAAAAGAAAGCAAAAGACAGAGAGAUCUAGAGAAGAGACCUGCUGAGGCACACCAAGAGGAGAAGCAGUGAUAUAAGAGACCUCAAAAUCAUAGGUAACAGAAGGAUCUUCAGCGGAAGAGGAGGUCAGAAGCAGGCAAAUGUGGAUAAGAAAGAAAGCAGAGAACCUACACAAAGCCAUUUCUUUAAAACUCCUCUUUGGUGUUUCAACAGCACAAAAAAUUCAGAACCGAAUUCUUCACCAAGCUUUUUCUAGUAGUGUUUCACAUCAUCAGAAAGAGAAAAGGAAGAGGAAGAAGGAAGGAGGAGAAGCAGAAGAAACCAGAGGAGAUGUAGACAGAGAAAUUGCGAGUGCA
rnacentral:misc_RNA from 1 species